CCUACGGGUGGCAGCAGUGGGGAAUAUUGGGCAAUGGGCGCAAGCCUGACCCAGCAACGCCGCGUGAAGGAAGAAGGCUUUCGGGGUGUAAACUUCUUUUGGCAGGGACGAAGCAAGUGACGGUACCUGACGAAUAAGCCACUGCUAACUACGGGCCAGCAGCCGCGGUAAUACGGAAGUAGCAAGCGUUAUCCGGAUUUAAUGGGUGUAAAGGGGGAGUAGGCGGGGAAGCAAGUCAGAUGGGAAAACCACGGGCUCAACCUGUGGCCUGCAUUUGAAACUGUUGUUCUUGAGUGCUGGAGAGGCAAUCGGAAUUCCGUGUGUAGCGGUGAAAUGCGUAGAUAUACGGAGGAACACCAGUGGCGAAGGCGGAUUGCUGGACAGUAACUGACGCUGAGGCGCGAAAGCGUGGGGAGCAAACAGGAUUAGAUACCCUUGUAGUC
rnacentral:rRNA from 1 species